rnacentral:tRNA from 1 species
GCACCUGUGGCCGAGUGGUUAAGGCGCGGCCUUGCUAAGGCCGUGGGAUAUUCCUUCCUGCGUUCGAAUCGCACCGGGUGCG